GUUAGGAAUAUUAGACAAUGGGCGCAAGCCUGAUCCAGCCAUGCCGCGUGAGUGAUGAAGGCCUUCGGGUUGUAAAGCUCUUUAGUCCACGAAUAUAAUGACUGUAGUGGAAGAAUAAGCCCCGGCUAACUUCGUGCCAGCAGCCGCGGUAAUACGAAGGGGGCGAGCGUUAUUCGGAAUCACUGGGCGUAAAGCGUGCGUAGGCUGUUUUGUAAGUCAGAAGUGAAAGCCCAGGGCUUAACCCUGGAAUUGCUUUUGAAACUACAAGACUCGAAUUCGGGAGAGGAUAGCGGAAUUGUCAGUGUAGCAGUGAAAUGCGUAGAUAUUGACAGGAACACCAGUGGCGCAAGCGGCUAUCUGGACCGAUAUUGACGCUGAGGCACGAAAGCGUGGGGAGCAAACAGGAUUAGAAACCCGUGUAGUCC
rnacentral:rRNA from 1 species